CUACAGAUGGUGACAGUGAAACUGGAGGUGCAGCGAUGACCUUAGUGGAAGAGAGUUAAACUCUGUUAAAGUAGAUGGGUGGACAACCACAGCAUAUCAUGGGCAGUUCUUUGAGUGUGCUAAAAUUAGUGUGUCAACAGUUUUCAGUGCCUUUGUGUGUUUUGGUUUUG